rnacentral:rRNA from 1 species
UCUCGCAUCCGUCCCCAAAAAGGAAGACGCGCCACGAACCGUGCGGGCCUUUUUCAGACGGUGCCGGAAAAACCAAGCUACGAACCGAAAGCACAUAGGGAAGGCUUCUUCCCGAGUACCUUUAGCAUGCACCACACCCGUAAAACCAUCGGAGCACCCACCGAUAAAAAUGACCGGCAACACGACGGAGCGAUCAAAAUACCGAGGUUUCCAACGUCGUACCCCCCACUAACGCUCGGGCGAGAGGAGGGGCGGUACAAACAACACCAUUGAACAUCGUAUUCCAAACCGGUUCCGUUUUCCACGAAGGCAACACCGAAGCCUAGCGUCAUUCAACGCACAGGCGUGAAAAAGACGUGGCGCUCGUCAGUUGGCCGCAACGAAGCGGGGAGCCUGAAGUAGCGCACACAUCAACAACCACUCACAUGCCGUCACGGUCACAACCCAGCAAAACCCUCCGCCUCUCCCCCAAACGUUGAGAAU